AUUGAACGCUGGCGGCAGGCCUAACACAUGCAAGUCGAGCGAGCGGCGGACGGGUGAGUAAUGUAUGGGGACUGCCCGAUAGAGGGGGAUAACUACUGGAAACGGUGGCUAAUACCGCAUACUAUCGGAUAACCCAUAUGGGAUUAGCCAGUAGGUGGGGUAAAGGCUCACCUCGGCGACGAUCUCUAGCUGGUCUGAGAGGAUGAUCAGCCACACUGGGACGAGUACACGGCCCAGACUCCUCCGGAGGCAGCAGUGGGGAAUAGUGCACAAUGAGCGCAAGCCUGAUGCAGCCAUGCCGGGUAAAUGAAGAAGGCCUUAGGGUUGUAAGGUACUUUCAGCGGGGAGGCGUUAACCGCAGAAGAAGCACCGGCUAACUCCGUGCCAGCAGCCGCGGGAAUUC
rnacentral:rRNA from 1 species